rnacentral:lncRNA from 1 species
UUCUGCCAUGUCAGAUCUGCCAUGCCGAGAAUCUCUCCAUACGCUCAGUCCUUUAACCACCGAGAACCCUUGAGGAUGAGAGGAACUGAGUGAAAGAUGUCUGUUUUGACCCUGAGGAGACUGGGUACUGAAAGAAAGAGGGAGAAAAACAGCCUGUAUCCCAGAGACACAUGCCAGAGAUGGGGAGCCUCAACAGCCAGGCAGGAAGAAAGAACACAAGCAGAGAGGAGGGAGUGGAUGGAAGUGGCCUUUAGCCUUUGCCCCUGGGAACUCUCCUUAGGACUGCUUCACUCUCCUCUGUGAGGUGAAUGAGAGGAGAGGACGGCUCCACUCAGAUUCUGAAAGUACCCUUGGUUGUCUUGGUCUUCCGAGGAAGUGUUUUCAGUUCUUACCCUGGCAGAAGGAAAGAUACCCAUGUGGCUUGGGGGCAGCAUUGGAUCUGAACAAGUUGGGCAGCUUACACAGAUCCUAGCACUGCAGAGGGCAAGGACACCAUUAAGAUAUGUCUGCACGGAAGCCGACCUCCCUCCACUGUUCUGCGCCUGUACCUCCGAAUCUUCCCACGGCUUUCCUUUCCGUCCAGAUCAUCAGUCCUGUGGCACAGCCGGUGCCUUUGCCUCUGUGACAUGUUUUUUCUUUGGUGCAGAAGUUAAAGCACAGUAGGAAUCAGUCCUCUAGCACGAGAGUCUUUCGGGCUGAGCAUCUAGGUUCAUUUCGGACACGUGGCCCUCAC